GAAGCCGUUCUAGCUCAGUUGGUAGAGCGCGUGGCUUUUAACCACGUGGUCGUGGGUUCGAGUCCCAC
rnacentral:tRNA from 1 species